UUUGAUUGAUGAUGUUAAUCUGUACAUGGUCCUAUAUUUAUACAAGUAUGAAGGCAUUUCCUCUACAACAGAAAUGACACUUGGCUAUUUUCUAUUUACUAACUCUCUAACAAACUAGGAAUAAUUACAAGGAAUAUAAUGAUGACAUUGUAUAUGUACAGCUGUGGUAUAUUCUAACUUUGGGCCUCUAUUCUUCCAUUUCCAUCUGAUCUGCUUUGGUCAAUUCGUGUAGCCCAAAUCAGGCCCAAAUGUGAAGAUAUGUGCAGAAGUCCAUAUGGGAAUAAUACUCCUUUAUCAUUUUGUCUUCAUUUCCCUUUGCAAACAUAACCAUGGCAAGACCCUAACCACAAUCAAACACCGUCUUCUUCAUUCUUGUAGCCAUAGUCAAAAUCAAUUUCAAAAUUUCUUCAAUGAACCGCUAAAUACCGCAACACCUUCACCAUUAUCAAUUCACCGUAUUCACUUCUUUCACCAUUAAACAAUAUUUUCAUGACAGAUUUGGUGUUGAGUUGAAGGUAAAUGAGAAUUAGAUUGUGCGUGUUGAAUUGAGAUUUCAGAUAAAGAUUAUGAUACUUUCAUGGAAGAACUCUACAACAACAAGCAUCUAUGAAUGGAUUGAUUUGUUUUAGGGGGAGGAGAAAGGAUUGUACAAAUAUAUAUUUAACAAAAUGGUUGAGGUAUUCUUUUAUAUAUUUUAUUCAACAUUUUUUUAUUCACUUUUUGAAACUAUGAUAUAUAACACUUCCUUUGUAGAUCUUUUAGCUAGGAUUCACAGAUUAAUACACCUUUAUUUACUUAUAACAAAAAAAAAAAAAAUCAAUUCACCUACCUAUAUAUGACAAGUCCCAGUGACCAGGAAUUGACUCUAUUUUUUACAAUUUUUUCAUUUGAAUUAAGUUACAAGUCCAAAAGUUAUAUCCUUUCAAAACAAACGAAAAAUAAGGCCAAAAGUCCUUACUAUUAAAUUUACAACCGUUUCUUUCCUAAGAUAACCAGUUGUCAUAUUCUAAUAUUUGUGAAUGCUCUCAAUGGGUAAAUACCUAUCUUGAAUUGCUUCAACAAGUAUGUUUUCUUCUCAAGUAUGUUCAUUUUUAAAAUUAUGAAGGAUGGUUAGUGAAUUGGUUACCUGCUAAUAGCUCAUAAAAGGCCUACACACAUAUAGGAGUUUUCGAUGACUAUAUUUUGAAGUCUUUGAAAUGUUUGGUCAAAUUAAUAUAUAAAGGAGUGUUUAAAGAUAAAAUAGGAUGAUAAAUAAUGAAAAAAAAUUGAAAUGAAUAAUGUAAGGCGUCGAGACGAGAAUAAUGUGAAUUAGUAUAACGAUUGACUAAGAGAAAAUAAUUAGUAUAAUGCGACUCCUAGGUAAGUAAUCUCUUUAAUUAUUCAUAUUUGUUAUCUUAGAAAUUUAAAUUCUGCUUUAAUACUUCUUUCUCCUUUCCUUUUUACCUUUUCUCUGAUUUUUAUUUUAUUCUUCAUGAGUAAAAGCGUUUUUUAUACAUGCUAGAGAAUGUUUUUUAUUUUUUCCUAAUAUUUCAUCUAUGUAAGUUACACUUGUGAGGAGAAUUAUAGAGUUUUGUUUUCUCUUCUUCAUUUCAUUAUAUAUUACAUAUUUGUUUUGGAUAUUAAAAGUGAGAAUCUGUAAUCCUUUGUGCUAAUAUUUGAUGGUCCAAUAAUAUAGGUAACAAAUAUUCUUUCUCGCGAGAUGAAUGUAAAAUAACAACGAAAAAUGGCUAUUUUGGGGACAACCAUAAUGAAAAAUCAUGAGAAGAAAGAAGACAAAUCACAAGAUAAAUGCAAGUCUACAACUAAUGACAAAAGACUACACAUAUCUUUUCCCAAUGUUUCUAAUUACAAAUUUAAUCAUGUUCUACGUUAUUUAUUGGGAUUCAUCAUUAUAGACAUAGUAAUGGUUCCAUGCUAAGUGGAAAUAGAAUACGAAGAAUAAAUAUAAAUACAAUAUAAUUGAUACAUUAUUGUCUAACGAGAUGAGGAGUAAAAGGGAGUUACUAUGAUGUGAAAUAGUUAAGGAGCAAAUUCUCAAAAUAUAACAGUAGUUUUCUCAUAAAUGAAGCGGUUAUCUCGAAAAUAAAUUUGUUUAAAAAUUUACUCGAUGGUGAAAAAGGCAAACAUGCAUUUUAGAUUAUGGAAAAACAUUGUUGUAAUUUGUUUUAAAUGUAACACUAUCGAUUGUUAAGCUUUGUGGCACUCUUUCUCUCCCAUUUUAUGUUUAAAAUUCAACAUUUCUCACUUUUCUAUUUAAAAUUCGACAUUUCUCACUUUUCUUUUCUUUUUUUUUUUGUUAAAAAAUUUGUUUAAAUUAAGAGAAAUAUGAAACAGAAAUAUAAUAGGUAAAGAUUUAAGUAUAUUGAAAUUAUUUAUGAUUGCGCAUAGCGCGGGUAAGUACACUAGUAUUUAAUUAAUCAUGAGAACUAAAAGCGUUGAUAAAGUAAUCCCCAUUUUAUAUUGGGAUUAUUAUCCCUUAUUGCGCUAACCAAAUAACCUUCGCAUUUUGAAGAUAUACUUUUCAUAUUUGGAUUAGUUUCAGAAGUUAGUAAACUAUAAAAGAAAACUUAAUAAAUAUAUGGUUUUUAUGACAUUAAAGUAAUUAAACCAUGUGUAAACUGCUCACAAACACACAUAACUAAUAUGUUAAAGUUCCAACUCAAAUUUCUUUGUUGCGCAUAUUAAGAAACGAAAAUCAUGCGUUUCCUUGACAAGUGAUGUGCACUUCAUCUAUUUCUUGACAAAUGGCUCGUUUUGUAGUGCAUUAUUUGACCACUUCAUUUAAAAAUAUUAAAAUAAUUAGAAAAAAAAUACUUUGUUAAAAGUAUAACUAAGUAAAUAACAUUAUACUUUUUUUUUACCACUUAAAGUUUUCUAUUCAAAAUUCAACGUCAGCUCCCAGGUAUGCAGAGGAGAACUCAUUUAGGAUGCAAAGAGAAUAAUAAGAAAUGGACCCUGAAUCUAAUUUAAUUUUAAAAGUUAGUAAAAUUACUUAAUACCAUAUAAAGAGACCUCUUCAUCCUUACAUAGCCAACAUCUUAACCAGCCAACGUGGAAACUCAACAAUUUCACACGGCUGCCAAUUAAAGCAUGAAUUACUCAUAUAUAAUAUGGCGAUCAAACAUUAGAUAAACCAAAAAAAAAAAAAAAAAAUUGGACUGAGGUUGUCUCUGGUAUCAUGAUCAUAGUACAAAUACCAGAGAUUACUCACUACCAUAUAAAAAAUUGAAAUAUGAUCUAGCUCAACCUUAAAA